UCUUGUGCCAAUACCGCACUGCCUUGGUCACUGUGGCUUUAUAGUUGCGUCUUGAAUUCGGGUAGCAUCAAUCUUCCAACUUUGUUCUUUUUCAAGACUCAGGACCUUGAGCAAGAAAAGCAACAGUCUGGAUGAUGAGAUUGUAUUGGAGGACCUAAGGAUAUAGACCCAACGACUCAACCCUACCUAAUUUGACUGUUGAUAUUUUACAAAGCUCAACAGGAACCAACUCCUACUUCUUCUCCAGUUUCAUUCUGCUCUAUUGUCCUGCUGGGCUCCAACCACACUGGACUUGUUCCAGUUCCUUAAACUUGUCUGAUUUUCCUUUCCUCACAGCUUUCGCACACAUCGUUUCUUUUGCUUAAAAUAUUCUUCUUCCAGCCCUGUCCUGGCCAACUUCACUCAUUCUUCCGAUUUCAGGCACCCUGCCCAGAGCCUGACAACAGCCAACCAAGAGCCAUCUCCUCCCUUCCUUGCUGUGUCCAUCUGGGUGGACUUUUUCCAUUGUCUUAGCAAGGGAGCAGCUCCGAGGAAGUACCAGUGUCAGCCAAGAAGGCCUGGGAGGAGCUGCUUUCCAGAAGCCCACGCGCGUGAAGGACGGCUCUUCCCCAGCUGACCAAACAAAGUGGGCGGAGUCAUCCCGAAGGACGCCCAGAUGCUCACGCCCCCUCACAGCAUCCGAAACAUUUACAUUGAAGAGCGAGAUUAAAUCGCCAGACCAGCCCAUAACAUGAAUUUAAAAGGCUGUUUUUUCAUGACAUCUCAGUAAUGCCUUCAGGAUAGAGUGGUAAUGACAACGUGCCUGAAAAGAAGAUGGUGCGUUUCUGAGGAAGCUACAUCAUCAAUACCAAAGCCUUUUGGACUCAGAGGCUUUCGGGAAAGCAAAUGCCUCGCCUUGGAUGGGGGCUGGAAUCCAGUUUGAUCAGCAGCAGUCUGAGCAGUGGGCGGGAAUUGGAAUCCACAUUCUCACAGGCUCACAGCCUUGACAGACAGAAUAUUCUAGAUGUUGACAACUCUGGAGCCACAUCAGGGAUGGGUGGCAUGUGGUCAUUUGUUAUUUACUAAGGCAUGAGUUUACCCCUCACAUGGAGGGCUGGCCUGACGGUGAUUUUCUAACAACCUUUUCUGCCCCUAGCACCGUAUUCUAUCAUUCUUUUUUAGCAUAUAUUUGUGGGCCUACUGUCUGCAAAAUGCUGCCCUAGGCUCCAGGGAUGCUGCAUGGGCAUCUCGGUCUGCAGGACGCACGUUCCCAUCUUCUUUAUUAUUUGCCAUGAGCCAGCAUCAUUUAGACAACAACUCUUCAGUAAUAAAAAAUUGGUGUCUUUGUAGAAAUAGCCCUGGAAAAGAAAUCUGGGUGUUGCCUUAAAAAAUUUUUUUUUAUUGCCCCCCACCCCAUGUUGCUUAAAUAAUGUGGAAAAAUUAGAAACUAGAGGUGAGCGGAAAGAAAAUAAUUAGCUCCCUAAAUCCUACAGUACAGAGAGAACCACAGCUAACCUUUGCUUCCCACACACGUGAGCUCUCUUUCUUCUUUUUGUAUAUCUACUGCCUUUUUAAAAGCAUAAUUAUUCUUUGUGUAAUUUCCUGCUCCUCAUCUCCUUCUGUAGAAGUCUAUACUGUCCCAUCAUUCUAUCUUAAUAGGCAUAUUUGUAUAGUUAAUGGCUGCCGACACUCUCUGGGUCCUACUACCCUGUGUAUUAUAUCAAAAAAAAAAAAAAAAAAAAAAAAAAGAAGAAGAAUGUAUACUAGCAUGUUUAAAUGUUCCUCCCUGUCUGAAUGUUGAGGUGGUUUUCUGCACUUUUUAAGUCAUAAACAACACGUAAACAUAAACAACUUGUCUAGUCUCUAUUACUAGAUCUUGGUGCACACCUCUAAUUAUUUCCUUGGGAUCCACUCACUGAAUUUCUAGGUCAGUUUGUAGGCACAUUUUUAAACCCUUUGCUUUAUGUGGCCAGACUGCCCUCAAAAUGUUUCCAGUUUAUGUUCCCAGAUAAGCUUGUCCUCUGCCAGGUGAGGACUUCCCGGCUUCUCACAAUCAAAUUAUAGAGAAACAGACUGUGCCUGCUCCUCCCUAAUCUCUCCUUCCAUUUAGACGGGCAGGAGUCUCCCUUCUCCUGCCAACAGCACCCCCGCCCCACCCCCCGCAACCCUGCCACUGUAUGUGACAGGGGGUCUCUGCAACUCACCUGUCCUUCCCUUGGCCUCAGGGCUUUACUUCUGGGAGUUGGACUCUCUUUGCCUAUGAGCUCUUUCCACAACACUUAAAAAUACUGUUUCUUGGGGCACCUGGGUGGCUCAGUGGGUUAAAGCCUCUGCCUUCAGCUCAGGUCAUGAUCCCAGGGUCCUGGGAUCGAGCCACGCAUUGGGCCCUCUGCUCCUCGGAGAGCCUGCUUCCUCCCCUCUCUCUGCCUGCCUCUCUGCCUACUUGUGAUCUCUGUCUGUCAAAUAAAUAAAUAAAAUAUAUAUAUUAAAAAAUACUGUUUCUUGGGUGCCUGGGUGGCUCAGUCGGUUAAGCAUCUGCAGUCAGCUUGGGUCAUGAUCAUGGGGUCUUGGGAUUGAGUCUUGCAUCUGACUCCCUACUUCUCCCUCUGUCACUGCCCCACUCGUGGUCUCUCCCCCUCA